rnacentral:rRNA from 1 species
CCUACGGGUGGCAGCAGUGAGGAAUAUUGGUCAAUUGACGCAAGUCUGAACCAGCCAUGCCGCGUGCAGGAUGACGGCUCUAUGAGUUGUAAACUGCUUUUGUACGAGGGUAAACCCCGAUACGUGUAUCGGGUUGAAAGUAUCGUACGAAUAAGGAUCGGCUAACUCCGUGCCAGCAGCCGCGGUAAUACGGAGGAUCCGAGCGUUAUCCGGAUUUAUUGGGUUUAAAGGGUGCGCAGGCGGAGGCACAAGUCAGCGGUAAAAUCGCGGGGCUCAACCCCGCUCCGCCGUUGAAACUGUGUCCCUUGAGUGCGCGAAGGGUAGGCGGAAUGCGUGGUGUAGCGGUGAAAUGCAUAGAUAUCACGCAGAACUCCGAUCGCGAAGGCAGCCUACCGGCGCGCAACUGACGCUCAUGCACGAAAGCGUGGGUAUCGAACAGGAUUAGAUACCCCAGUAGUC